CAGCAGGUGUUUAUUCAUAGACAUUGAAUU
rnacentral:piRNA from 1 species